rfam:Hepacivirus hominis isolate HK6a, complete genome
AUUCCCGUCGUGGGCGCGCCUUUGGGCGGCGUCGCGGCUGCACUCGCACAUGGUGUGAGGGCAAUCGAGGACGGGAUCAAUUAUGCAACAGGGAAUCUUCCCGGUUGCUCUUU